GACGAACGCUGGCGGCGUGCUUAACACAUGCAAGUCGAGCGGUAAGGCCCUUUCGUGGGUACACGAGCGGCGAACGGGUGAGUAACACGUGGGUGACCUGCCCUCAGCUCUGGGAUAAGCCUGGGAAACCGGGUCUAAUACUGGAUAUGACUCCAUGACGCAUGUUGUGGGGUGGAAAGCCUUGUGCGGCUGAGGAUGGGCCCGCGGCCUAUCAGCUUGUUGGUGGGGUGAUGGCCUACCAAGGCGACGACGGGUAGCCGGCCUGAGAGGGCGACCGGCCACACUGGGACUGAGACACGGCCCAGACUCCUACGGGAGGCAGCAGUGGGGAAUCUUGCGCAAUGGGCGAAAGCCUGACGCAGCGACGCCGCGUGAGGGAUGACGGCCUCGG
rnacentral:rRNA from 1 species